rfam:Triticum aestivum genome assembly, contig: Triticum_aestivum_CS42_TGACv1_scaffold_094161_2AL
AGAGCAAGGUGUAGCCAAGGACGGACUUGCCGGCAAGAUUACUACCACCUUGUUGUGUGCUGUCGGCAAGUCAUCCUUGGCUGCAUUCCACUCUCU